UACGAAGGGGGCGAGCGUUGUUCGGAAUUACUGGGCGUAAAGGGCGCGUAGGCGGCUUAACAAGUCACUUGUGAAAUCUCCGGGCUUAACUCGGAACGGCCAAGUGAAACUGUCAAGCUAGAGUGCAGAAGGGGCAAUCGGAAUUCUUGGUGUAGCGGUGAAAUGCGUAGAUAUCAAGAGGAACACCUGAGGUGAAGACGGGUUGCUGGGCUGACACUGACGCUGAGGCGCGAAAGCCAGGGGAGCAAACGGG
rnacentral:rRNA from 1 species